UUUUAUGAAUGAGCAAAGAAAGUAGUUUCUUGAGAUAGAAUCUACUCCUGGUGGCGAUGCUAUUGU
rnacentral:pre_miRNA from 1 species